rnacentral:lncRNA from 1 species
UCAUAGUGAAGGGUUCAUAUGUGAGGUUGAAAGAGAAUAAUAGUGAAGUGCAAAGAUCUUGGCACUGUUGUUGAGGUAAAAACAAAAGAAAGUAGAAACAAUAAAAGACCAAUUAGAAAAGCGUCCAUGGAGAGUAAUAAAGAAUACUCAAGGAAUAUCAAGGUUCUAAUACUAAGUUAGAUACAAGUGGCGGUCAUUCUUCUAAAUCUACAGAAUUCUGACAGAGCAAAAACUACUGGGCAUGCACUGGUGUUUACUUUUGGAGUCUUAUGGCACUGAGUAUGCCACAUAUACGAGCAUUGUCACAUCCAAUGAUAGUAAUGGGAGCACAGCAAAACAUUGCGAGUAAGUUAUAUGUUGCC